GACGAACGCUGGCGGCGUGCUUAACACAUGCAAGUCGAACGGAAAGGCCCUGCUUUUGUGGGGUGCUCGAGUGGCGAACGGGUGAGUAACACGUGAGUAACCUGCCCUUGACUUUGGGAUAACUUCAGGAAACUGGGGCUAAUACCGGAUAGGAGCUCCUGCUGCAUGGUGGGGGUUGGAAAGUUUCGGCGGUUGGGGAUGGACUCGCGGCUUAUCAGCUUGUUGGUGGGGUAGUGGUUUACCAAGGCUUUGACGGGUAGCCGGCCUGAGAGGGUGACCGGCCACAUUGGGACUGAGAUACGGCCCAGUCUCCUACGGGAGGCAGUAGUGGGGAAUAUUGCACAAUGGGCGGAAGCCUGAUGCAGCAACGCCGCGUGCGGGAUGACGGCCUUCGGGUUGUAAACCGCUUUCGCCUGUGACGAAGCGUGAGUGACGGUAAUGGGUAAAGAAGCACCGGCUAACUACGUG
rnacentral:rRNA from 1 species